CCUACGGGAGGCAGCAGUGGGGAAUCUUGCGCAAUGGGCGAAAGCCUGACGCAGCGACGCCGCGUGAGGGAUGAAGGCCCUCGGGUUGUAAACCUCUUUCGGCAGGGAAGAAGCCGCAAGGUGACGGUACCUGCAGAAGAAGCCCCGGCCAACUACGUGCCAGCAGCCGCGGUAAU
rnacentral:rRNA from 1 species